ACACAACAAUUCUGGUACCACGCUUUUACUGGUUAUGAAAAACACCACUACGCUAGGUCAAAGCGGGACACAUCAUGCAUCAGUCUAACUCAGGCAAGGGGCCAUUGUCAUCACAUUUUCAAUUUCUGAAAUGACUUUUUAAAAAUUCUUUCUCAUCAUGACAUCACUCAGACAUAAUUUGUGAAAUGACAUAUUGGAAAUCCUUUAUCUCAUCCUAGCAGUUGAUUCAGAUUUUUUUUAUCUCUAUCAUAUUUGCAUAAUCUGAUUGUUUUUCUUUGCUUACAAAUGCAUGGGCAUAUUUGCUAGUAUUAACCAAAGAAGGGGUUAAUAUUUACUCUAGGUUUGCUUAGCCCCCCCAAAAAAAUUUGGGAGAGAGAAGAAACAUUAUCCCCGCGAAUAAAAUGUCUCUCCGGUCCCCGCGGCUUCUCGUCCGCUCCGCUUCCGGUGGAUGCACGGACGCGCGGGCAGGGCGCCGGCGGGUCGCCGGACUGUCCUCCGUCUCUCUCCCCAUCCGAGAAUCCCGCUCGUGGCUGCUGCCGCUUCUGGCUCUUGAAUCCCGCUCGUGGGGAACUGGCGACGGGGAGUGGAGAGCCCCUCGAUUUGGGCAUUGGGGGGAUUUUUGCCCCACUAAUUUUGGCGAAAUUCAGUCAGUGAGUGGAAGUAUCAUGCUGCUGGUUGCUGGCAAUAACUCGGAAAGAAGUUGUUUGUUUCUUUUACCAUAGGUAAUGGACCAGUGUGGCUAAUUAGUUUCUGAAUUAGCCUUCAUAAGAAAUAUUAGCACUCUCUGAAUUUUGCAGUGAAGAGUAUUUAUUUUGACAUGUUUCUCUUUUGGAGAAUAUACAAUGUUGUUCUGAAAGUACUCAAAUAUGUUGGUAAUAACAUUUUUCUUGAUUCA